rnacentral:tRNA from 1 species
GCCUGGCUAGCUCAAUCGGUAGAGCAUGAGACUCAGGGUCGUGGGUUCGUGUCCCACGUUGGGCG